ACAAAGGCGGGCAGGAGCCAGGCUGCAGCAAAGCUUUUGCAGCCCAGGGCAGGCGAUGAAGACGACGGAAUAGGAGGGGAGGUGCAGGCCCAGGGCACAGGACAAAGGCGGGCAGGAGCCAGGCUGCAGCAAAGCUCUUGCAGCCCAGGGCAGGUGACGAAGACGACGUCUCCUCUCCAGGCUGUGUUUGUCGUCAGCAAUGGCAUCUGAAAUCCACAUGCCGGAGCCCGUGUGCCUCAUUGAGAACACGCGGACGAAGGGGCUGGUGGUCCAGCAGGAGGCCCUGCAGGUGCUGUCAGGGAUCACCCAGCCCGUGGUGGUGGUGGCCAUCACAGGGCUGUACCGCACUGGCAAGUCCUACCUCAUGAACAGGCUGGCUUGUCAGAGGAAAGGUUUCUCCUUGGGCAGUGGUGUGCAGUCCCACACCAGGGGUAUCUGGAUGUGGUGUGUACCUCACCCGUGCAAGCCUGGACACACUCUGGUGCUGCUGGACACGGAAGGGCUGGGUGAUGUGGAGAAGGGUGACAUGAAGAACGACAUGUGGAUCUUUGUGCUAACGGUGCUGCUCUCCAGCACCCUGAUCUACAACAGCAAAGGCACCAUUGACCAGCAAGCUGUGGACCAGCUGCACUAUGUGAUGAAGCUGACUGAGCAGGUCAAGUUGAAAGCAGCACCCGAGCAGAGCGAAGAUGAACUGGAGGAUUCAGAAAACGUUGCCCCCAUCUUCCCGACUUUUGUGUGGACGGUCCGGGACUUCACACUGCAGCUGGAGGUGGAUGGGAAGGAAAUCUCUGAGGACGAAUACUUGGAGAAUGCACUCAAGUUAAAGGCUGGGAGCAGCCCAGAGACCCAACGCUACAACCAGCCCCGGGAAUGCAUCUGCCAGUUCUUUCGGGAUCGCAAGUGCUUUGUUUUUUACCAGCCGGCCCACAGGAGGGACCUGGUUCGCUUGGAGGAGCUUCCGGACGAUGAGAUCGAUUGUGAAUUCCAGCAGCAGGUGGAGAAAUUCUGCAGCCACAUCUGGGAAAAGUCUCCGCCUAAGACCAUCCCUUGCGGCCGCACCAUAACAGGGACCCUGCUGGGGAAACUGGCAGAGAGCUACGUGGAGACCAUCCGGAGCGGGGCAGUGCCAUGCCUGGAGACCGCAGUGCUCGCCCUGGCAAAGACUGUAAAUGCAGCGGCAGUGAAAGAGGCUGUGACGUUGUACCAGGACCUGAUGGAGCGGCGGGUGAAGCUGCCGACGGAGACGGUUCAGGAGCUACUGGAUCUGCACACCCAGUGCGAGCGGGAGACGCUGGAGCUGUUCCAGAAACAGGCGUUCGAGGAGGAGAUCUGCUCUUUCCUGGCAGAUCUUACAAUGUGCAACAGCAGUAUGAGAGAGCUCAGCAGGAGUGGGAUGCCCGGUGGAAGCAGGAGGCUGAAGACAAGCAGAAGCUGCAGGACAAGUUGCACAGCACCGAAGAAGAGGUGGCUCGUCUGAGAAAGAAGCUGGAGGAUCAGCCUAAGAAGCCUAAGAAGCGGCGUGAGGAGCACCCAAAGACCAGCAAACGUAAAUCGAAGAGCACCUGGUCUCUCACUCCAUCUGAAGGCACGGGGAACAUGUAAAGCCGGGGUGGCCUGGGGCACAGAAAGGCCAACAGGCAGGUCUGGGAGCAUAUUUCCAGGCUCAGAACACGUCACGGAGGAACGUAGCACACCUCGUGUAGAGACCUCCUCACCAGGGCUAUGGGAAACAUGACCAGCGAGGUUUAUGCCUGCUGGCUGAUAUCCUAGGGUCGCACUUUCUGCAGCUGCGGGAAGUAGCACGGAGGUUGUGAGUAAACCAGGAAUCCACGUGGUGAGCGCGACCUGGUUUGCUUGGCGUCAGUCCCAGGCAGAGUGACCCAGAAGCAGUGAGCCCGCGACCCAGGGAGCAGUGGGUGAAAGGCAUCCUCUGCAAUGGAGCUUUUCCCACCCAAGGCUCUUCUCACUUUGAGCACUGACCCUGCUCGGCGAGCAAGGUCCUGGGGAACCUCCCGGGGACAAAGCCCGGGCUCUGCUCCUCCACCUGCUGUUGUGCUGGGGCUGUUUUCCCUGCCGAGCCCUCACACCGUGAGACUGUCUCCCUCCACUGCCACAUUCUAGUCAAAUUAUUGACAUGAUCUGUUUCAUCUUUCGCCAAACUUUAAUAUAUGAAAUGGCUACAAGCAAUAAGCACAAUAAAGUUAAAUCUAAGAAAACUACUCCUGAAUGUAACAUUGAAUUCAAAGCUCCGGUUGCUGUUGGUGACCAUCCCAGGAGAGUUUGCCAUCAGGGAUGUUCUUCCUCUUUCUCAGACAGUUUGUACACAUUCCAUUGGAGGUGUGUGUGUGUGGUAGGCGAUUAGUCUUGAUAUAAUGCGUAGUUAAAAGGCAGCAAUUGGUAGGUUGGGACGGGAGCCUGUGGUGGUUCAGCCUCAGACGGCAACAAGGAACCACGCGGCUGCUCUCUCAAACCCCUACAGCCGUGGGGGAGAAUUGGAAGAAGAAGCAAAACUCGUGGGUUGAGACAAAGGCGGUUUAACGGGACAGCAAAGGGAACAGGAAAACAACAACAACAACACGGACAGUGGAACGUGCCCCUGCUGAUUGACAGAUGACGGCACCACCGCUCACCCACUGGACCGGGGACAGCCCAGCCCUCUCCCAACUGGUGACUUCCCAACCCCUCCUCUGGCAGCCCCUGGCUACUGACUGGGCACGGCUGCCACCGGAUGGAAUACCCGUGCCCCUGCCGGAGCCUGGGGA